ACCUUCCUCUGUAAGUUAGCCAGCAUUUCAAAUAUGGAUACUCUACAGUGGGCAAACAUGAAACUGUUUCAGAAUUGUAUGCAGUAUAAUACAUCUCAUCAGGAAGUUUUUAAUGUAUUGAGAGAUGUCUCAAAUGUUCCUUUAAAAAAAAAAUACUAAAAAAAGAGCACCUAAAGGCAGUCUGGAUCCUGGGUUUGGGGAGCUGAAAAGAUGACAAGAGGCUUGUAUUCUUUUCUUGCCAGUUUGUCUCAUUGCCACAGGACACCCAAAAUCAGCAUCACAAAUGAUGACAUGUAACAAACUCCAGCACUAAAAAAAUAACACAGUGAUGGGAUAAGACAGACUGAAUGAAACAAGUAUGCUUCAGGGAUGUUCCAGUUUGUCAUCAGUAUAUAGAGAAGCACCUACAAGGUGGACAGUAUUUGACUUUAUUCUUAAAUGCCAUGCCCCAUGAGGAUUACUAAACAAGUAUGAAAUACUUAAAAUAAACAUCCAGUAGAUGGAAAGUGGGUCACUACAAGAAUCUCUUUUAAAUCAAUGAGUCACUGUGAGACUGAAUUCUUCAGCACCUUGCUGUCUGCAGUUGGGCUGGAACUGCUGCAUUCUCAGGGGAUUCCCAGACCAAUUGUUUUGGUUUGGUUAAAUUAAAGUGGACUUUGUCAAGCAACUGGCACUCUGCAUCUUAGAAUCAGUUUGUUAGUCUAGUGGUCUCUGCUGCUUAUUUUAAAUACUGAAAACUAAUUGAUGGGCUUCCUUGAUUUUGUAAGUAUAGAAGAGUUGUAUAUUAGAGCUGUUACAGGUGGAUGCAACUUAUCUGUACUAUGAAGUGGAACCAUAGGCAGGAAAGGGAUGUUGUAAAACAAGAAGAUACUUUGGAAAACAAGUUAGCUGUGAUGCUACUCCUUCUGUGCCUUUUAUAUACUUCCCUAGCAUGUCAACAAGCUGAAACAAGUUGUACCCAGACUCAUGUACUUAUACAGCUCAGGAAGAUCAAGGUGUGUUCCUGGGGCUUCAUGCAGUUUGGAAAUUCUGAGAAAGUGUUACAGUGUCAAUGUGUAUAAGCGUGUAUGUCCAUCAUAUCCAGCAUGACUUCACUAAUUCAUGCUGGCUGGGAGUCUCAUUACAGAUAACUGGAUUUUGCAAAUCAGUUUCAGUGCAAAUAAACUACAAGCAAGAAUUUAAAAAUGUUCAUUUAUUACACAAAUGCACUUUACUUUUAGUUACUUAAGCUAAUACCAUGUAUAGAGGCACCCAAACUGGGAUCUAGCCUUCAGCAAACUGAAGAAAAUAGGAUUCACACCUGAAUGUCUAAGUUUAGGCCCAUCUUUUCUUCAAAGUGCACUCAGAGGCAUGGUGUGUAGUAUAAUUGAUAACAGUAUGAAAGAAAAAUGAGUCUUCCUGGCAGUGCACUAAAAACUACACCUCUGCAGAAAAGUGGGGCAAGACCACCAUUGUUGUGUUUUGUAGGACCACUCACCAUUGGAAAACUGUCAUUUCUAAUGUGAUGUAUAUAUUGUUUUGUGCUAUGGGAUGAUAACUGUGUUCCCAUUUUUGCUGAUUUUUACAGCUUAAAGAAAUCUCUAAUUAAAAAAAGCCAAACAUUA